AACCUUUGCUGUCUUGGGACGGAUCACCGCUGCAAGAGGGGAAGUUGCUACUGUGAUGAAUUCUGCCAUGUGGCACCAGACUGCCACCCAGACCACAGUGUCCUCUGCAACCCUGGUAACUCACAUACAGGCCCGAUUCCACCUACAGCAAAGCUGGAUGCGAUGGCUGGCAGAGGCAAACCCUUUGCCUGCACUUCAGGCCAAAGCCGGGAUGUGGCCUAGAUGGUUCCUAAGGUCCCUGACAAUCCUGAGAUCUUGCAUCUUGUCUAUUUCAGGUCAAAGGUGCCUACAUGCUCCUUCUAGCUUUGUUUCCCUGAUGUUCCUUGCCACCUGCUACUCCUCUCUGAGCUACUUUUCCAGCUUCUCAGAUGACCAAGAUGGUGCUGCAGAUGGUGCUGAGGAUGGAGAACCCACCAAGCCCCGCUAGGAGCCACCUAGACUGGAUGCAGAGCAUGGUUCAGCGAGUUCUCCAAACCAGCCUCCCAGGAAUGCCAUUCACCAUGGCUGUGAGGAGAAUAAAGAAGAGAGCCUGACUCCUCUCCUGAGGCCCCUUCCCCACCCUGAGCCAGCAGGAUCCACGGAGCAGAGGUCAUCUGUCCCCAGCUUGGCCCACUGAGGCCAGCAUGGCUGGGCCCAGGAUGCUUGUCUCUCAGCUCCCA
ensembl:lncRNA MUC20-OT1 MUC20 overlapping transcript